rnacentral:siRNA from 1 species
UGCUAUUUGCAGAGCCAUCCC